rfam:Oesophagostomum dentatum strain OD-Hann O_dentatum-1.0_Cont2710.3, whole genome shotgun sequence.
CCAAAGGCUCUCUUUAGGGCCACAUUUGUGGUUAAAAAAUAUGCGU